UCACAACCUUUGACGAAUGAG
rnacentral:miRNA from 1 species